AGCUAAUACCAGAUAACAUGUUGAACCGCAUGGUUCAACAGUGAAAGACGGUCUUGUUGUCACUUAUAGAUGGAUCCGCGCCGCAUUAGCUAGUUGGUAAGGUAACGGCUUACCAAGGCAACGAUGCGUAGCCGACCUGAGAGGGUGAUCGGCCACACUGGAACUGAGACACGGUCCAG
rnacentral:rRNA from 1 species